CCUACGGGGGGCUGCAGUAGGGAAUUUUCGGCAAUGGGGGGAACCCUGACCCAGCAACGCCGCGUGAAGGAAGAAGGAAUUCGUUCUGUAAACUUCUGUUAUAAAGGAAGAAAGACGGCUGGAGGAGAUGACAUCCGAGUGACGGUACUUUAUGAGAAAGCCACGGCUAACUACGUGCCGGCAGCCGCGGUAAUACGAAGGUGGCAAGCGUGAUCCGGAAAUAUUGGGGGAAAAGAGGUAGCAGGCGUCAGAAAAGGUCUGUGGUGAAAGACUGAAGCUUAACUUUAGUAAGCAAAAGAAACAGGUCAGCUAGAGUGCAGGAGAGGUUAGUGGAAUUCCAUGUGUAGCGGUGAAAUGCGUAGAUAUAUGGAGGAACACCAGUGGCGAAGGCGACGAUCUGGCCUGCAACUGACGCUCAGGCAUGAAAGCGUGGGGAGCAAAUAGGAUUAGAUACCCCGGUAGUC
rnacentral:rRNA from 1 species